rnacentral:rRNA from 1 species
CCUACGGGUGGCUGCAGUGGGGAAUAUUGGACAAUGGGGGGAACCCUGAUCCAGCCAUGCCGCGUGUGUGAAGAAGGCCCUCGGGUUGUAAAGCACUUUCAGUGAGGAAGAACGCCUGGUGGUUAAUACCCAUCAGGAAAGACAUCACUCACAGAAGAAGCACCGGCUAACUCCGUGCCAGCAGCCACGGUAAUACGGAGGGUGCGAGCGUUAAUCGGAAUUACUGGGCGUAAAGCGCGCGUAGGUGGCUUGAUAAGCCGGUUGAGAAAGCCCCGGGCUCAACCUGGGAACGGCAUCCGGAACUGUCAAGCUAGAGUGCAGGAGAGGAAGGUAGAAUUCCCGGUGUAGCGGUGAAAUGCGUAGAGAUCGGGAGGAAUACCAGUGGCGAAGGCGGCCUUCUGGACUGACACUGACACUGAGGUGCGAAAGCGUGGGUAGCAAACAGGAUUAGAUACCCUGGUAGUC